rnacentral:rRNA from 1 species
UACGGGGGGAGCAAGCGUUGUUCGGAUUUACUGGGCGUAAGGGGCGCGUAGGCGGUCAGCACAAGUCAGUUGUGAAAUCUCCGGGCUUAACUCGGAAAGGUCAACUGAUACUGUGCGACUAGAGUGCAGAAGGGGCAACUGGAAUUCUCGGUGUAGCGGUGAAAUGCGUAGAUAUCGAGAGGAACACCUGCGGCGAAGGCGGGUUGCUGGGCUGACACUGACGCUGAGGCGCGAAAGCCAGGGGAGCGAACGGG